rnacentral:rRNA from 1 species
AUUGAACGCUGGCGGCAUGCCUUACACAUGCAAGUCGAACGGCAGCACGGAGCUUGCUCUGGUGGCGAGUGGCGAACGGGUGAGUAAUAUAUCGGAACGUACCCUAGAGUGGGGGAUAACGUAGCGAAAGUUACGCUAAUACCGCAUACGAUCUAAGGAUGAAAGUGGGGGAUCGCAAGACCUCAUGCUCGUGGAGCGGCCGAUAUCUGAUUAGCUAGUUGGUAGGGUAAAAGCCUACCAAGGCAUCGAUCAGUAGCUGGUCUGAGAGGACGACCAGCCACACUGGAACUGAGACACGGUCCAGACUCCUACGGGAGGCAGCAGUGGGGAAUUUUGGACAAUGGGCGAAAGCCUGAUCCAGCAAUGCCGCGUGAGUGAAGAAGGCCUUCGGGUUGUAAAGCUCUUUUGUCAGGGAAGAAACGGUGAAAGCUAAUAUCUCUUGCUAAUGACGGUACCUGAAGAAUAAGCACCGGCUAACUACGUGCCAGCAGCCGCGGUAAUACGUAGGGUGCAAGCGUUAAUCGGAAUUACUGGGCGUAAAGCGUGCGCAGGCGGUUCUGUAAGUCUGAUGUGAAAUCCCCGGGCUCAACCUGGGAAUUGCAUUGGAGACUGCAAGGCUAGAAUCUGGCAGAGGGGGGUAGAAUUCCACGUGUAGCAGUGAAAUGCGUAGAUAUGUGGAGGAACACCGAUGGCGAAGGCAGCCCCCUGGGUCAAGAUUGACGCUCAUGCACGAAAGCGUGGGGAGCAAACAGGAUUAGAUACCCUGGUAGUCCACGCCCUAAACGAUGUCUACUAGUUGUCGGGUCUUAAUUGACUUGGUAACGCAGCUAACGCGUGAAGUAGACCGCCUGGGGAGUACGGUCGCAAGAUUAAAACUCAAAGGAAUUGACGGGGACCCGCACAAGCGGUGGAUGAUGUGGAUUAAUUCGAUGCAACGCGAAAAACCUUACCUACCCUUGACAUGGCUGGAAUCCUCGAGAGAUUGAGGAGUGCUCGAAAGAGAACCAGUACACAGGUGCUGCAUGGCUGUCGUCAGCUCGUGUCGUGAGAUGUUGGGUUAAGUCCCGCAACGAGCGCAACCCUUGUCAUUAGUUGCUACGAAAGGGCACUCUAAUGAGACUGCCGGUGACAAACCGGAGGAAGGUGGGGAUGACGUCAAGUCCUCAUGGCCCUUAUGGGUAGGGCUUCACACGUCAUACAAUGGUACAUACAGAGCGCCGCCAACCCGCGAGGGGGAGCUAAUCGCAGAAAGUGUAUCGUAGUCCGGAUUGUAGUCUGCAACUCGACUGCAUGAAGUUGGAAUCGCUAGUAAUCGCGGAUCAGCAUGUCGCGGUGAAUACGUUCCCGGGUCU